rnacentral:lncRNA from 1 species
AUAUUGUCAGUUUAAAAUUCAAGUAUUGACCAUAAAAAAUUUCAUCAUUUCAACUGAUAGUUUCUGUUGCAACCAUUGCAAUCAUAUUAACUUUAGUGUCUUCAUUUGUCCAUCUGUUUAAUGGUGCACAUUACUAAAUUUUGUUCUUUCUCCCUUUGAAAAGAGGAAUGUUUUACUUCCUCCCUCUUGUUGAUAUUUUCCCCUAUCUGGUGGUAUGAAUUGGAAGCCUUAGAUUUGAUUUUGUAUUUAAUAGCAUAAAGAUGCUUAAUAUGCUCGUGCCUCUUUGGUCAAUAUGUUCAUAAGACUUAUUAGUUACUGUAUUGCUUUAAACCUUCAGUUCCAGCAUUUAGCUUCUAUUAGUUCUGGGCCAGGAUAUUUCUUCUAUAAAUCCCCCCUCUUGCAGGAUAAAGUGGGUUUGAGCCCGAUCAAAUCUGCUCAAAUUGCAAAGAGAAAGCAUGCUAGGAAAGCUACAGGCUCCAGCAAUGGGGCUGGGAUUUGAACAAGGAGUGGCCUUGGCAGAAUUGCCUUGAAUCGCAAUACAAUAAGCACACAGAUGCAUAACAUAAAGCUGGCUUUUUCUCCUCUUUCUCUCUCUCUCUCUCUGCAGAGAAAUUAACCUUAUGCUCAGACCUGCUUCUUCUUGUCAUAUGUGGUGUCUUUAGAGGUGGCAAAAGGCAUGCUCAGGUCCAAUUGCUUCGGUUUAAGUCUUCUUUAGAUUAGAUCAUUUUAUUUUCACAUUAUCUUUGGUUUUGGUCAUUUUUAGUCUGGUUAUCUGGAGUUUGGAUCAGAUUUAAGUUCGAGUUAGAAUAAAAUUGAUAACUAAAUCUGUAAUUUUAGUAUUAAGUUCAGGUUGUUGUGGAUUUUGAUGUAGAGUCAUUUCAAGUUUGUUUUAUUUCAGGUUAGGAUCAUUUUAGGCUUAGGCUUAGGCUUAGGUUGUUUGUAUUCAAAUUAUCUAGGAUUUGGAUUUACUCAGGUAUGGGUUUUGACAUUUUAUUAGAUUCGAGUUUGAGUGGAGGCUGGUUCGAACUUUUCUGGGCCAGUUUUAGAGUUCCAAUUUAUUUGGUCAUCUUGAAUUACCAUACAUAUAUGACAAUGAUUCUAGAUCCGCAUCUAGAUUCCACCAAGACAAACAGCUUGAAUUCCUUUUCAAUGUGAAAAAUCUUUCUCAAGUUACACAUUAAUCUCCCUUUUUAUAUUAUAUUCAGGAAUCUCUGCUUGACAAAUGGAAUCCUAAUCAACUAAAGUGGGCAGGGAGAGUGGAAUCUUCAACAGCCUUUUGUUCAAUUACAUCCAAUGGUGAGUGGUUGGUUUGCAUAUUGCACCUUCAUUUUUCCAUACAGGAAUUGCGUGCUCUGCUAGUCAUAAUCACACUAGUAGUUUACCAGUUGAUUGGGGCUCCCACUUGGCCAUGACUUUGAUAUGCACUUGCAAAAUUUUAUCAUAAGCUUCAACAUAAUACACGCAUGUGCUUAUCAUGAGAUGAUUUGUAUGAGUGCUUUCUAUUUGCUAGUAAUACUUCGUGCAUUUCAGUUUUUGUCGGUUUAAAAGUAAAAAGUGCAAGGUGCUGGAUCUUGACUCUGCUUUGUUUUCUAUCAGUAGAAUGAUUAUUUUCUGAUAAUGGACGAAUAAUAAAAUGAACGGUUGUUGGAUCUUGACUCUCUGCUUUGGUUUCUAUCAGUACAAUCAUAGUUUUUGUGAUAAUUGACGAAUAAUAAAAUGAAUGGUUCCAUUUGGCUUGGCUUCCACUUCCUCUCCUGUUAUCUCCUAUUUGAGUAUGGGAUUUGAGCCUACCCACUAAUUUCGAUUAACAUUGGAGAAUGUAUUUAUAAUAUUUUUAUUAUGUGGUGAUCAGUAGUGGAAGUGAUCAGUAGUGAAAUAAAUUCCACUACUAAUUGAUAGAAAAUGGAGUAAAUUUUGAUUUCUUGGAAGUUGAAAGUUAUUUGUUCUUUUUUCUUUUUGGUACUAUAUCCUUGGAGGCACUGUUGUUUCCUAUUCCAUAGGCAGGAUCAUAGGAAGUGGUGGCGGGGCUGGAGCUGGGGCUGGGGCUGGGGCUGGGGCUGGGGCUGGGGCUGGGGGAGAUUUGACUCUGAAUUCAGGUUUAGGGAUUAGGGUUCCGAUUUUUUUAACUAACAUUGUGGAGUGGCAUUGAUAUGAUAUUCAUCACCAAAGGUUACAUUUAUUUCUUAUUUUUCUACAUUAUUGGCGGAAAUUGCAA